GCUGAAGACAUGCUCUUAUCGAGGUUCCUGCAGAGGCAAAUCAGUUACCUUCCACUGUGGGUGGUGCAGCUAUUGCAAUGCAGAGUCGAGAUAAACCCCCUCUACACUUCUCAGGCUUUGCACUGGAUGCUGGAACGUUGCUGUGAGGACUUGACUGCAUUCAGCCACAAAGAUUUGAUCCACAGCUGAACUGCCGUAAUGACGCAUGUUUCUUCCUCUCUUUUUACCACUGUUUAAAUUUCC